rnacentral:rRNA from 1 species
CCUACGGGUGGCAGCAGUGGGGAUUAUUGCCCAAUGGGGGACACCCUGAUGCAGCGCCGCCGCGUGAGUGCAGAAGUAUUUCGGUAUUUAAAGCUCUAUCAGCAGGGAAGAAAAUGACGGUAACUGAUUAAGAAGCCCCGGCUAACUACGUGCCAGCAGCCGCGGUAAUACGUAGGGGGCAAGCUUUAUCCGGAUUUCCUGGGUGUAAAGGGAGCGGAGACGGCAGCACAAGUGUGGAGUGAAAUGCCGGGGCUGAACCCCGGAACUGCUUUGGAAACUGUGCAGCUAGAGUGCAGGAGCGGUAAGUGGAAUUCCUGGUGUAGCGGUGAAAUGCGUAGAUAUCAGGAGGAACACCAGUGGCGAAGGCGGCUUACUGGACUGUAACUGACGUUGAGGCUCGAAAGCGUGGGGAGCAAACAGGAUUAGAUACCCCUGUAGUC